rnacentral:rRNA from 1 species
GAUGAACGCUGGCGGCGUGCCUAAUACAUGCAAGUCGAGCGAACGGACGAGAAGCUUGCUUCCCUGAUGUUAGCGGCGGACGGGUGAGUAACACGUGGAUAACCUACCUAUAAGACUGGGAUAACUUCGGGAAACCGGAGCUAAUACCGGAUAAUAUUUUGAACCGCAUGGUUCAAAAGUGAAAGACGGUCUUGCUGUCACUUAUAGAUGGGUCCGCGCUGCAUUAGCUAGUUGGUAAGGUAACGGCUUACCAAGGCAACGAUGCAUAGCCGACCUGAGAGGGUGAUCGGCCACACUGGAACUGAGACACGGUCCAGACUCCUACGGGAGGCAGCAGUAGGGAAUCUUCCGCAAUGGGCGAAAGCCUGACGGAGCAACGCCGCGUGAGUGAUGAAGGUCUUCGGAUCGUAAAACUCUGUUAUUAGGGAAGAACAUAUGUGUAAGUAACUGUGCACAUCUUGACGGUACCUAAUCAGAAAGCCACGGCUAACUACGUG